GCCUGGGUGGCUCAGUCAGUUAAGCGCCAGACUUCGGCUCAGGUCAUGACCUCACAGUUUGUGGGUUCAAGUCCCGUGUCAGGCU
rnacentral:tRNA from 1 species